rnacentral:rRNA from 1 species
GAUGAACGCUGGCGGCGUGCCUAAUACAUGCAAGUCGAGCGAACAGACGAGGAGCUUGCUCCUCUGACGUUAGCGGCGGACGGGUGAGUAACACGUGGAUAACCUACCUAUAAGACUGGGAUAACUUCGGGAAACCGGAGCUAAUACCGGAUAACAUGUUGAACCGCAUGGUUUAACAGUGAAAGACGGUCUUGCUGUCACUUAUAGAUGGAUCCGCGCCGCAUUAGCUAGUUGGUAAGGUAACGGCUUACCAAGGCAACGAUGCGUAGCCGACCUGAGAGGGUGAUCGGCCACACUGGAACUGAGACACGGUCCAGACUCCUACGGGAGGCAGCAGUAGGGAAUCUUCCGCAAUGGGCGAAAGCCUGACGGAGCAACGCCGCGUGAGUGAAGAAGGUCUUCGGAUCGUAAAACUCUGUUAUUAGGGAAGAACAAAUGUGUAAGUAACUAUGCACGUCUUGACGGCACCUAAUCAGAAAGCCACGGCUAACUACGUG